UACGGAAGGGGCAAGCGUUGUUCGGAAUCAUUGGGCGUAAAGGGCGCGUAGGUGGCUCUGUAUGUCUACCGUGAAAGCGUACGGCUCAACCGUAUUUUGUCGGUGGAAACUGCAGGACUUGAGGCUGGGAGGGGCUGGUGGAAUUCCCUGUGUAGCGGUGAAAUGCGUAGAGAUGGGGGAGAACACUCGUGGCGAAGGCGGCCAGCUAGACCAGUUCUGACACUGAGGCGCGACAGCGUGGGGAGCAAACAGG
rnacentral:rRNA from 1 species